UCGAGCGGUAACAGGUCCAGCUUGCUGGACGCUGACGAGCGGCGGACGGGUGAGUAAUGCAUAGGAAUCUACCCGGUAGUGGGGGAUAACCUGGGGAAACCCAGGCUAAUACCGCAUACGUCCUACGGGAGAAAGGGGGCUUCGGCUCCCGCUAUCCGAUGAACCUAUGUCGGAUUAACUGGGUGGGGAGGUAACGGGUCACCCAGGGAACCAUCCCUAGCUGGGCUGAAAGGAUGAUCAACCACCUCGGGACUGAAACACGGCCCGAACUCCUACGGGAGGGAGCAGUGGGGAAUAUUGGACAAUGGGCGCAAGCCUGAUCCAGCCAUGCCCCGUGGGGGAAAAAGGGUUUCGGGGUGGUAAGGAGUUUCAACGAGGAAAAACGGCUGGGGGGUAAUUCCCGCCAAGAAAGACAUCACUCGCCGAAAAAGCACCGGCUAACUCCGUGCCAGCAGCCGCCGGAAUACCGAGGGGGGCAGCGUUGAUCCGAAUUUCUGGGCGAUAAGCGGGCGUAAGGGGCAUGGCAAGCCGGUUGUGAAAGCCCCGGGCUCAACCCGGGAACGGCAUCCGGAACUGUUUUGAUACAGUGGAGGAUAAGAAUGGGGAAUUCCCGGUGUAUCCGUGGAAUUGCUAUAAAAUGCGUGAAUAUCUGGGGCAAAGCGGGCUUUAAGGCCGCCCCCUGCACUCAA
rnacentral:rRNA from 1 species